CAGCCGUGCGGUAAGCACAAAGCAAACUAUUCUUUUGCCUUUUACUAAAGAAAUACCGUGUGCUUGCCGUUAAUAACCGGCAUACGCCUAUUUUUGAAGAGAUUUCUCUUUUCUAAGAGAAAC